rnacentral:pre_miRNA from 1 species
AGUGAGAUUUCUGGAUCAUAUGGUAGUUCUAUUUUCAGUUUUUAAAUGAACCUCCAUACUCUUUUCCACAGUGGCUGUACUCAUUUACAUUCCCACCAAAAGU